ACGAAGGUCCCGAGCGUUGUUCGGAAUCACUGGGCGUAAAGGGAGCGUAGGCGGCGUGGCAAGUCAGACGUGAAAGCCCGGGGCUCAACCCCGGAACUGCGUCCGAUACUGCCGUGCUUUGAGGGUUGGAGAGGUAGCUGGAAUUCUUGGUGUAGCAGUGAAAUGCGUGGAGAUCAAGAGGAACACUCGUGGCGAAAGCGAGCUACUGGACAACACCUGACGCUGAGGCUCGAAGGCCAGGGUAGCGAAAGGGAUUAGAUACCCCUGUAGUCCUGGCAGUAAACGGUGCACGCUUGGUGUGGGAGGACUCGACCCCUCCUGUGCCGGAGCAAACGCGUUAAGCGUGCCGCCUGGGAAGUACGGUCGCAAGACUA
rnacentral:rRNA from 1 species